AGUCUUGAGGUGUUAUCAUGUAAGAUUGCAAAUCUUAAGAAGUAGAUGAAAGUCUACCGGGACUU
rnacentral:tRNA from 1 species